ncrna:unclassified sequences malK-I RNA
UUAAGGUAGGCGCCGCUACUCCACCCCGUUAGCGGCGGACCGCCGGAUAAGGAGGAAUCACCCACCGCAGGCUUGCGGUGCGGCAGUGUGGAGACCUGCCGUAAUGCAUCCGCGCUUCGCGCGCCGAUGUGAGGUCCGGGCAAGCGGAGGCUCCCGGAUCAGAGCCGGUAGCAUGGCA